rnacentral:lncRNA from 1 species
GUGUAGAUGGAUUCGAAUAAUGUUUAAGCAACCGGUAUUUAUAGAAUAAGGUCGGCAUUUGGAUCUUUACUUUUGGUUGCCUGACUCAUCUUUUCAUCAUUCCAUCAUGAAUAUUGAUAAAGGUGAAUGGAUAAAGUUGAAUAAUAGAAAAUGUAUAUAGAAGAUGGCAUGUCUGCUAGCUGCAAAAGGAGCUUGUUCAGAGGGCCAAGCCUUCUUCAGUGUGGCUAAAGAAAGUAAAAAUGAUCUGGUAGUUAGGGUAGGCAGUAACAUGCUUUGAUUUAGGCUGACUGUGUAUACAUAUUGGAAAAGAAGUUUCUGAGAUGGUCUGCUUGCUUUCUGAUGCAAACCAACUUUUGAUACCACACUAGGAGUAGUUGGAAUCAAAUGAUCAGGGACACAAUUUAUCAAACCACCAAGAUAGCCUAUUCCUUAAAAUCAUCCUAAGGAAUCUGCAACUUUAAUUCUAUGUUUGAAGAGAAGGAUCUAUAACUAAGGGGUUCUUUUUUGUGUGUGCAAAAAUAUAAUUUUUAAAUUUAUUUACUUAAAAUAUUAUAUCUGAAAAGAAUUUAUACUCUUAUAUCUAUGAAAAGUAGUUUCCACGUAAAUAAUCUUUCUGCUAUCGAGAGAAGGUAAGUUUUUGUGUACAUCUCAGUUUUGGAUCCUGCUUCCGAGUGGGACAUACCGGGUAUGUUUGUUAGGUAUUGUAGUGAGUAGUGACUAAUGAGAAAAGUCAAAAUAUCUUAUCCUACUCCGGAGUGGGACAUUCCGGGUAUAUUUCAUUAAGCAUGCUAUAAUAGCAAACCGUCAGCUUAGCCCUCAGAAUAACUACCUGAAGGCCAACGGUUUGGUCUUUCUAAGACACACUCUGCUGGGAAAAUUUUAGGCAGUUUUGCCAAAUCUAAAUUUUUGAACUCUCAAAGAGAAUAGAAGGUGACUAAAUGUUCAGGUAUUGUGAAUUCAUUGAAGAAAUUUUCUGUUAAUGUUGAACUGAAAAGUGUUGCUUGAGCUGGUCAGCCAAAAGAAAUUCCACAGGUUAUGGGAUCAUCAUCUUCUGACAUUCUUAAAUUUUAUUUUCAACUUCUUGAGGUGUAAAGAAGUUGAGAGUAGGCAGCCAUCAUUCUUAAGUGAAUAUCAACCGUGAAACUCUGAAUCUGUGAUUCGUCUUUCUUAAAAUCAAUUGGUCGACUUGGGGCACGAAUCCAUGCAAGCACAUCUAUCUUUGUGUGUGUGUGCAAACUUCUCUGCAACUGAUCAGUGGGGGGUUCAUCCACAUGAAAGUACCAUAUGAUGACUAAACUAUCAGCGUAUCUGAUUAGCAAGUCGGAUAUGGGGAGCUUAAAAUGUGCACAUACCUUGCCCCUCCCGGCUAGAGGAGUACAUAAGACAUUAAGAAUUCAUUACAUCAAAAUACGGAAGACAAUGGAUCAUAGCAACUAAAUCAUGGGGAAACACAUUAUAUAAACAAAUUUUGACAUCUUCAUUUACAAAUUACAAGCAAAUCUUUUCAUCAAGGCAGAUGAAUUCUAAGAAACAAAAUAUGUACACCCUCAUCUAGGUUACUGCACAUUUUGCUGAUUUUUGAUCCGAGUUCAAUUCAUUGUGCAUGAGACAGGGCAUUCUGAAUAGAUAUGAUCGUUCUUUCAUAAUUUAAGAGUCCCAUGAACCAGAAUUCAAAAUCAUCUCUAGUAACUACCCGCAUGUACUUCCUUGAAGGCUGCUUCAGAUUUUCACUCUCAUUCACUUUCUUUAUCUUUCCUAGUGGGAUCACGACCCUGUAAUGUACUCUUUGAAACUCUCCAGUAGGGCAAGAAACUUUGAUUGAUCGUUCGCUGCAGAAGGCAACCUUAUCAGUGGAAAUAAAGAGUAGGCCUGCCAAUGGACCUGCUGAGGUCGACAAAUAGCAUUGACAAACUUUCAAUAGCUUCUCCCCUUCUUUCGCACUAAAAUUUCGUCUGAACACUUUCUUCACUCCACCUACUUGUAAUAUUUUUGCUCCUAAGCUCAACUUCCCUUUCAUAGUUUCAGUUAUGGACCUUAUUCUCACUGCAAAAAUUACAUAUAAAACAUUAGUAAGGAUAUUAGAUGGAAACAGUGCUAUUUUUUGUAGAAAGAAUAGCAAAAUUCUGCAAAUAAAUAAUUACCAUGCUCUCUGAUGCCUUCUGCUAAAGUAUCUAUUUUUUCACCGAAGCUGUUCAUCCUACUAAAUACUGAAUCAAAUCUACCUGCAGUUUCCAAAAAAUAAUAUCUAUGAGUUUCUAUUGACUGUUGCAUGCAAUAUAAUAUGACAAAUCAUCAUCCCUUGACUAAAUACAAUUAAAGAAUCAAGAAUUACCCCAUCUGAAUUUUGGUGAUGCAUGGCAAUGGCUAGUUAGCACUCCUCUUAGAGGCCUCUCAACAGGAAUUGCAGAGCCUGGUGAAUAUGGAAUAAUAUGUUUCCCAGCCUGGUUCUUCAUUGUGAGCAAAUUGUAGAAUCUUCGCGUUUUAUCUGGAUCACCAACUCUCUGGUAAAUAGUAAUACCCUUUAAACUCUGAGGUAAUGACUGGUUUAGUGUAAGAUGGAUUUGAAUAUUGUUUAUUCAAACGGUAUUUAUAGAAUGAGGUCGGUAUUUGGAUCUUUACUUUCAGUUGCCUGAGUCAUCUUUUCGUCAUUCCAUCUUGAAUAUUGAUAAAGGUGAAUGGAUAAAGUUGAAUGAUAGAAAAUGUGUGUAGAAGAUGGCAUGUCUGCUAGCUGCAAAAGGAGCUUGUUCAAAGGGCCAAGCCUUCUUCAGUGUGGCUAUAGAAAGUAAAAAUGAUCCGGUAGUUAGGGUAGGCAGUAACAUGCUUUGAUUUAGGCUGACUGUGUAUGCAUAUUGGAAAAGAAGUUUCUGAGAUGGCCUGCCUGCUUUCUGAUGCAAAUCAACUUUUGAUACCAUACUAGGAGUGGUUGGAAUCAAAUGAUCAGGGAACACAAUUUAUCAAACCACAAAGAUAGCCUAUAUAUUCCUUAAAAUCAUCUUAAGGAAUCUGAAACUUUAAUUCUAUGUUUGAUGAGAAGGAUCUAUAACUAAGGGUCUUUUUUGUGUGUGUGCAAAAAUAUAAUUUUUAAAUUUAUUUACUUGAAAUAAUAUAUCUGAAACGGAUUUAUACUCUUAUAUCUAUGAAAAGUAGUUUCCACGUCAAUAAUCUUUCCAUGAAAAGUAGUUUUCACGGAAAUAACCUCUCUACUUCCUAAAGGAGGUAAGUUUUGUGUACAUCUCAGCUUUGUGGAUCCUGCUUCCGAGUGGGACAUACCGGAUAUGUUUGUCAGGUAGGUAGUGACUAAUGAGAAAAUCAAAAUAUCUUAUGCUACUCCGGAGUGGGAUAUACCGGUCAUAUUUGAUUAAGCAUGUUAUAAUAGCUAAUAAAAGUCAAAAUGCCUUGGAACUAACCAUCAGCUCCGCCCUCAGAAUAACUACCUGAAGGCCAACGGUUUGGUCUUUCUAAAACACUCCGCUGGGAAUAAUUUUAUGCAGUUUUUCCAAAUCCAAAUCUUUGAAAACUCAAAAAGAAAAGAAGGUGACUGAAUGUCCAGGUAUUGUGAAUUCAUUAAAGAAAUUUUCUGUUAAUAUUGAACUGAACAGUGUUGCUUCAGCUGCUCGGCCAAAAAAUUCCACAGGUUAUGGGACCUUAGUAUCUAAAGUAAAUCUUAUCUUAAUCAUCAUCUUCUGACAUUCUUAAGUUUUAUUUUCAACUUCUUGAGGUGUAAAGGAGUUGAGAGUAGGCAGCCAUCAUUUUUAAGUGAAUAUCAAUCGUGAAACUCUGAAUCUGUUAUUCAUCUUUCUUAAAAUCAAUUGGUCGACUUGGGCAAGAAUCCAUGCAAGCACAUUUAUCUCUGUGUGUGUGCAAACUGCAAACUUCUCUGCAACUGAUCAUUGGGGCGUUCGUCCACAUGAAAGUACCAAAUGGUGACUAACUAUCAGCGUAUCUGACUAGCAAGUUGGAUAUGAUGAGACUAAGAUGCAUACAUUACUUGCCAACUAUUACAUAACUCUCCGUUCACUGCAAAUCAAAACUACCAGUAUAUCCACAUGAAAGUAGGAUAUGGGGAGCGUAAAAUGUGCACAUACCUAGUCCCUCCUAGCUAAAGGAGUACAUAAGACAUCAAGAUUGCAUGAUAUCAAAAUGCAGAAGACAAUGGAUCAUAGCAACCGAAUCAUGGUGAAACACAUUAUAUAAACAAGUUUAAUUGACAUCUUCAUUUUCAAAUUACAAGCAAAUCUUUUCAUCAAGGCAGAUGAAUUCUAAGAAACAAAAUAUGUACACUCUAAGCUAGGUUAGUACUAGUGCACUACUAACUACAUAGCUCCUACGUUACCCGGACUCUUCAUUUUGCCUCGAGUACCCAUGUCGGACACUCGACACUCGGACAUGGGUAUGGACACUCCGACACUUAUUUUAGGCCAAAAACAUAUGAAAUUUUCAAAAUAUUGCCGAGUCCGACACUCGGACACGUAUCCAGUUUGGACACUUUCAGCCGAGUCCGGGUAACAUAGCAUAGCUCAGUGUAUUUCCAGCUGCAUCAGAGAUUCAGGGGUAAAACCGCUGAUUCUUGAUCCGAGUUCAAUUCAUUGUGCAUGAGAGAGGGCAUUCUGAAUAGAUAUGAUCGUUCUUUCAUAAUUUAAGAGUCCCAUAAACCAGAAUUCAAAAUCAUCUCUAGUAACUAUCCGCAUGUACUUCCUUGAAGGCUGCUUCAGAUUUUCACUCUCAUUCACUUUCUUUAUCUUUCCUAGUGGGAUCACGACCCUGUAAUGUACUCUUUGAAACUCUCCAGUAGGGCAAGAAACUUUGAUUGAUCGUUCGCUGCAGAAGGCAACCUUAUCAGUGGAAAUAAAGAGUAGGCCUGCUAACGGACCUGCUGAGGUCGACAAAUAGCAUUGACAAACUUUCAGUAGCUUCUCCCCUUCUUUCACACUAAAAUUUCGUCUGAACACUUUCUUCACUCCCCCUACUUGUAAGAUUUUUGCCCCUAAACUCAACUUCCCUUUCAUAGUUUCAGUUACGGACCUUAUUCUCACUGCAAAAAUUACAGACAAGAUAUUAGUAAACAAUCUGAGAUUACCAUCCACUAAAAGUGUACAACCAAGAAUAUUGUUUUUAGUAAUUAGUAAAUAAAAAAAAAUAAAGGAAAUUAAAUUUUUUGCUUUGUAGAAAUGAUAAUUACCAUGCUCUUUGAUGCCUUCUGCUAAAGAAUCAAUUUUUUCACCAAAGCUGGUCAUCCGACUAAAUACUGAAUCAAAUCUACCUGCAGUUUCCAAAGAACAAUAUAAAUCGAUGAGUUUCUAUUGACUGUUGCAUGCUAUAUAAUAUAGAAAAUCAUCAUCCCUAAAUGAACACGAAGAAUCAAGAAUUACCCCAUCUGAAUUUUGGUGAUGCAUGGCAACGGCUAACAGGGACGGCUAGAACUCCUCUCAGAGACCUCUCAACAGGAAUUGCAGAGCUUCGUGAAUAUGGAAUAACAUUCUUUCCAACCUGGUUCUUCAUUGUGAGGUAAUAUAAUACCCUUACAACUCUGAGGCAAUGACUGGUUUAGUGUAAGAUGGAUUUAAAUAUGUUUAUUCAACCGGUAUUUAUAGAAUAAGGUCGGCAUCUGGAUCUUUACUUUUAGUUGGUCAUCUUUUCGUCAUUCCACCAUUAAUAUCAAUAAAGGUGAAUGGAUAAAGUUGAAUAAUAGAAAAUGUAUAUAGAAGAUGGCAUGUCUGCUAGCUGCAAAAGGAGCUUGUUCAAAGGGCCAAGCCUUCUUCAGUGUGGCUACCUUGUUUGUUUUAGGCUGACUGUGUAAGCAUUUUGA